UACGUAGGGUGCAAGCGUUGUCCGGAAUUAUUGGGCGUAAAGAGCUCGUAGGCGGUUUGUCGCGUCUGCUGUGAAAACCCGAGGCACAACCUCGGGCCUGCAGUGGGUACGGGCAGACUAGAGUGCGGUAGGGGAGAUUGGAAUUCCUGGUGUAGCGGUGGAAUGCGCAGAUAUCAGGAGGAACACCGAUGGCGAAGGCAGAUCUCUGGGCCGUAACUGACGCUGAGGAGCGAAAGCGUGGGGAGCGAACAGG
rnacentral:rRNA from 1 species